rnacentral:rRNA from 1 species
UACGGGGGGUGCGAGCGUUGUCCGGAAUCACUGGGCGUAAAGGGCGCGUAGGUGGCCUGAUAAGGGUGUGGUGAAAGUCCGGGGCUUAACCCCGGAUCUGCCGUGCCGACUGUUAGGCUAGAGUGCUGUAGGGGCAGGCGGAAUUCCGGGUGUAGCGGUGGAAUGCGUAGAGAUCCGGAGGAAGACCGGUGGCGAAGGCGGCCUGCUGGGCAGAUACUGCCACUGAGGCGCGACAGCGUGGGGAGCAAACAGG